rnacentral:rRNA from 1 species
GUGAGGAAUAUUGCGCAAUGGAGGCAACUCUGACGCAGCCAUGCCGCGUGCAGGAAGAAGGCGCUACGCGUUGUAAACUGCUUUUAACCGGGAAGAAACCCCAGGACGUGUCCUGGGUUGACGGUACCGGAGGAAUAAGCACCGGCUAACUUCGUGCCAGCAGCCGCGGUAAUACGAAGGGUGCAAGCGUUAUCCGGAUUCAUUGGGUUUAAAGGGUGCGUAGGCGGAGCGUUAAGUCAGUGGUGAAAUCCUGCAGCUUAACUGUAGACUUGCCAUUGAUACUGGCGCUCUUGAGUGCGCUUGAAGUGGGCGGGAUGUGCCGUGUAGCGGUGAAAUGCUUAGAUAUGGCACAGAACACCAAUUGCGAAGGCAGCUCACUAAGGCGAUACUGACGCUGAGGCACGAAAGCGUGGGGAUCGAACAGGAUUAGAAACCCCGGUAGUCC